AUGAACGCUGGCGGCGUGCCUAAUACAUGCAAGUCGAGCGAACAGACGAGGAGCUUGCUCCUCUGACGUUAGCGGCGGACGGGUGAGUAACACGUGGAUAACCUACCUAUAAGACUGGGAUAACUUCGGGAAACCGGAGCUAAUACCGGAUAAUAUAUUGAACCGCAUGGUUCAAUAGUGAAAGACGGUUUUGCUGUCACUUAUAGAUGGAUCCGCGCCGCAUUAGAUAGUUGGUAAGGUAACGGCUUACCAAGGCAACGAUGCGUAGCCGACCUGAGAGGGUGAUCGGCCACACUGGAACUGAGACACGGUCCAGACUCCUACGGGAGGCAGCAGUAGGGAAUCGUCCGCAAUGGGCGAAAGCCUGACGGAGCAACGCCGCGUGAGUGAUGAAGGCCUUCGGAUCGUAAAACUCUGUUAUUAGGGAAGAACAAAUGUGUAAGUAACUAUGCACGUCUUGACGGUACCUAAUCAGAAAGCCACGGCUAACUACGUG
rnacentral:rRNA from 1 species